AGUGUCCCCAGACUUUGAAGAGAGUGGGGAAGGGGCCUUCAGGGGGUCCCUGCAGGAAGGAAGCGCAGAGGCAGCGGCCGGCCCAGAGAGCAUCAUCAGAUACCUGUGGCUCUCAAGCCCUCCCUUCUGUCCCUGCCCCCUCCAGAGAAUGAUCUGGAAGGAUUCUCUGUUUUGGAAUCUCCAUCUUUGAGAGCCGUUCUACAUUCAUUUCUGUUGCUCUGAUGAAACACCCUAUGGAAAAAAAAAAACCCAGCUUAAUAGAGAAGGGGUUAUUUCAGUUCUACCACUCGAGGUUACUGCGUUGGUUUCGGUAGAUGAUGGACUGUAACCUCGAACCAAGGAAAGCACACAACUUGUUUAAGCCAGCAGAACAUGUGAUGAACACACAGCAUCGUUAAAGGUAAAUAA
rnacentral:lncRNA from 1 species